AAACAACAAUCUUGCUUUGUGAGAACUUCUUUUUCCUUUGAGUUUAUAUCUGUUGAGAUUUAAAAAAAAAAGUUGCAAAAAAAAAUGGCAGGAAAAAUGUGUAUGAUGAUGAUGGUGAUGAUGGUAUUGGUGAUAAUGAACUGUGGUCUAAAACCAUGUAAUGGAAUGGAUACUAACGUUCCCACACCACCGUCUCUCGCAGGGGAGGAACCUGAAACGCGACCACAAGACAUUGCUCACUGCUACCAACAAUGUAGCCUCAAAUGCGGCUCUGACGGAGAUUGCUUCGUAGCUUGUUUAAAGAAAUGCCGCGGAACCUCUACUCUUUUUUAAUUUCUCAUACAAAGAAUGAUUCAUGUUUUGUCUGUAAAACUAUGCGACCAAGGCAUGAAAAAACUGAUCAAUGAUAUAGAAGAACCAAAGAUAUAUUUGCAGAAAA